UAACGCUCGUAGUUGGAUCACGCAGCAGUGCUCAGUAAUCUGCUACCAGACAAUCUUCCACGAAAGCCACUUUGUGGCGCUUCAGGAACUGUCGUCGGUGGUAGAUGCCAACGCUGAGCAUUGUUAGUUGCACGUGAGAUGAAUUGUUGGCCUUUAUUGAGCCGGUAUUCUCGUCUUGCGGAGUGUGCCUUGAAUAAAACAGAGUGCUUAAAGCAGGUCGUUGCCUGAAUGUUAUAGCAUGGAACGAACAAUCGUGUAUAUGUGUGCAUCCUUGAUCGGUGACGAGCCUUAGGCUUGUCGUUGGCCAGGACGCAUACGGCACCCACCAAAAUAUGGCUGUUGGUUCCCAUAUACGGUGAUGAUUAAAAGGAGCGGUUGGGGGCAUCGGUAUUUGGCCGCGA
rnacentral:rRNA from 1 species